rnacentral:rRNA from 1 species
GACGAACGCUGGCGGCGUGCUUAACACAUGCAAGUCGAACGGUAAGGCCCUUCGGGGUACACGAGUGGCGAACGGGUGAGUAACACGUGGGUGAUCUGCCCUGCACUUCGGGAUAAGCCUGGGAAACUGGGUCUAAUACCGGAUAGGACCACUGCCUGCAUGGGUGGUGGUGGAAAGCUUUUGCGGUGUGGGAUGGGCCCGCGGCCUAUCAGCUUGUUGGUGGGGUGAUGGCCUACCAAGGCGACGACGGGUAGCCGGGCUGAGAGGGUGACCGACCACACUGGGACUGAGGUACGGCCCAGACUCCUGCGGGAGGCAGCAGUGGGGAAUAUUGCACAAUGGGCGCAAGCCUGAUGCAGCGACGCCGCGUGAGGGAUGACGGCCUUCGGGUUGUAAACCUCUUUCAGCACCGACGAAGCGCAAGUGACGGUAGGUGCAGAAGAAGGACCGGCCAACUACGUGCCAGCCGCCGCCGUAAUAC